UUAUGUGAUCGUCUCUCGCAUAUCAAUAAGCGGAGGAAAAGAAACUAACAAGGAUUCCCCUAGUAACGGCGAGUGAAGCGGGAAGAGCUCAAAUUUGAAAUCUUAAAGGGUUUCCCUUUACGAAUUGUAGUUUAAAGAAGUGUUUUCUGUUGAGGUUUUGGUAAAAGUUCUUUGGAAUAGGACAUCAUAGAGGGUGAGAAUCCCGUAUUUGACCUUUACUUUCAACUUUGUGAUACACUUUCAAAGAGUCGGAUUGUUUGGGAAUGCAGUCCAAAAUGGGUGGUAAAUUUCAUCUAAAGCUAAAUAUUGGCGAGAGACCGAUAGCGAACAAGUACCGUGAGGGAAAGAUGAAAAGAACUUUGAAAAGAGAGUCAAACAGUACGUGAAAUUGUCAAAAGGGAAGCGUUUGACACCAGUGUUGUUUUUCUGAAAAUCAAUUAAAGAACUGUUUAUGCUAAGCUGUUUAGACUUUAUCAGCUAACUGUUUAGUUUUGAGCUUUUCUUUAAUGCACUUUUCAGUUAACAAGUCAACAUCAAUUUCUUUUGCUGUAAAAAAGCUUGAGGAAGGUGGCUUGAGAUUCGUCUUAAGUGUUUAUAGCCUCUUGCCUAUGCAGUCGGAGAGAUUGAGGUCUGCAGCGUAGAUCCUUCGGGGCUAAAUGCAUUUGUGCUAAGUUAUAGCAUUUUAUAGACAACUUGUUGACUAUGAUUUGUCUUGUAGCUUACUCGCUUAUGUUAUUUUACCUACGCUUAGGAUGUUGAGUAGCGACAUACGCAC
rnacentral:rRNA from 1 species